UACUCUCUUUCUCUCCCAAAUCCCACUCUUCUUCUCUUCCACUUUCUCUUCCUCUUCGUCUUCAACCCCUCAAAUCAAAAUUAUCGUCUUCUUUUCAAUGAUUUUCCUAGAACCAUGAGAUCCGCUGUGAUGUCAAAACACCUCCUGAGACCUGUUUUUCGUGUUGGAAAAAAGAGGAAAGAUAUGAUUGAUGGAGUUGAAGUUUGCGUCUGCUGGAGAUGGACAAAUAUAGUAGUAUUGUUGUGCAGAGUCGGUCCCUUGGUUUGGUUAUCAAUGUCAAUAGAAAAAGCUUCUUCAGUUACUUGUAAAAAGGAGAGGAGGGGUUUGUGGUUUGCAGUGUAAAUUAAUGUAAAUUUGACUGUAAUGUUUUGGGAUUUGGUUGUAUAGCUUGUAUAAGGAUGGAGUUAAUAUAAAAAUGGAUACUAUUUUUGUUUGCGAGAAGAAAUCACUGGGGGAUUGCCCCAGGGCUCUUCGUUCUGUGUGUGGGUGUGGGUGGUGGGUGCUUUCUCUCUCAUUUUUUUCCCUCUCACUUCCCCUCUUCAAUCUUCCUCUUACUUUCCCAUCUCCACAUUUCCUAUCUAUUUUUCCUUUCUGCUUUACUUUCUCCAUUUUUUUCUCUUUAUUUUCUUUCUCUGUUUUCUCUAUUUCAUUUGUCUAUCUUCUUUGGCUUUCUAAUUUCUCUCUUUGUAAAUCUUUACUUUCUUUUUGUUAUACUCUUUAUUUUCUUUCCUUACUUUCUCGCUUUUUUCUCUUCACUUUUUCUCUCCAGUCUCUUUCAUUUUCUCUCAAAUUUGAUGCUCUAUUUUUUCAGUUUAUUUUUAGAUCUUCUCUUUUUACUUUCCUCCUCCACUUUUUUCUCUUUAAUAUUCUCUAUAAUUUCUAUUUGAUUUCUCUUCACUCUCUAGUUUCUUUCUUAUUAUUGCUUAUGAGUAAAUUGUUUGUUUCACCUGUUAAACUGCCUAAUUUUAUUAAAUUCCAUUUAUGUCCUUGAUAAUAAACAAAAUUAUAAAUAAAACAAAUACUUUUAGAACCCAGUAAUUUUAUUAAAAUAAAAGACAAAAACAAGAUAGGGAGGGAAAAAAAAAAAAUGAAGGUGACUUUUAAACGUAUAAAAUUGAUACUAGAACAAAUGGUAAUUAAAAGAAAUAAAAGGACACUAUGAAUAUAUUAAAAAAAGAAAAAAAAAAAAAAAGAAA